rnacentral:lncRNA from 1 species
UUUGCCUUUAUUUGAGUUGAAGAUAUUCUUUCGUUUAUUCUUUCUUUGAAGAAGUCCUUUGAGUCUCCUUGUCAUCAAGGCUAUCUCUUCAUCAGAAUCAUCAUCAAGCUCUUCUUCAUUUCCUGCAUUAAGAGCUAAAACCUUUCUUCGAGGAGUUUCGUCCUCAUCAUCAUACCUCUUUAACUGAUGUUCAUAUUCCUCAAGUUCACCAAAAAGGGUUAGUGUAUCCAUAGUAGAUAUAGUAGAGGAAUCUUGAAGAGUAGUAAUCUUAGAUGCAAACCUCUUGGGCAUAGCCCGAAGUAACUUACGAUUAAUCUCACUUUGUG